AGUGAACGCUGGCGGUAGGCCUAACACAUGCAAGUCGAACGGCAGCACAGUAAGAGCUUGCUCUUACGGGUGGCGAGUGGCGGACGGGUGAGGAAUACAUCGGAAUCUACUUUUUCGUGGGGGAUAACGUAGGGAAACUUACGCUAAUACCGCAUACGACCUACGGGUGAAAGCAGGGGAUCUUCGGACCUUGCGCGAUUGAAUGAGCCGAUGUCGGAUUAGCUAGUUGGCGGGGUAAAGGCCCACCAAGGCGACGAUCCGCAGCUGGUCUGAGAGGAUGAUCAGCCACACUGGAACUGAGACACGGUCCAGACUCCUACGGGAGGCAGCAGUGGGGAAUAUUGGACAAUGGGCGCAAGCCUGAUCCAGCCAUACCGCGCGGGUGAAGAAGGCCUUCGGGUUGUAAAGCCCUUUUGUUGGGAAAGAAAAGCAGCAGGUUAAUACCCCGCUGUUCUGACGGUACCCAAAGAAUAAGCACCGGCUAACUUCGUG
rnacentral:rRNA from 1 species